UUAAUUUGAGAGUUUGAUCCUGGCUCAGGACGAACGCUGGCGGCGUGCCUAAUACAUGCAAGUCGAACGAACUCUGGUAUUGAUUGGUGCUUGCAUCAUGAUUUACAUUUGAGUGAGUGGCGAACUGGUGAGUAACACGUGGGAAACCUGCCCGGAAGCGGGGGAUAACACCUGGAAACAGAUGCUAAUACCGCAUAACAACUUGGACCACAUGGUCCGAGUUUGAAAGAUGGCUUCGGCUAUCACUUUUGGAUGGUCCCGCGGCGUAUUAGCUAGAUGGUGGGGUAACGGCUCACCAUG
rnacentral:rRNA from 1 species